rnacentral:rRNA from 1 species
CCUACGGGGGGCAGCAGUGAGGAAUAUUGGUCAAUGGGCGAGAGCCUGAACCAGCCAAGUAGCGUGCAGGAUGACGGCCCUAUGGGUUGUAAACUGCUUUUAUGCGGGGAUAAAGUGCAGGACGUGUCCUUCAUUGCAGGUACCGCAUGAAUAAGGACCGGCUAAUUCCGUGCCAGCAGCCGCGGUAAUACGGAAGGUUCGGGCGUUAUCCGGAUUUAUUGGGUUUAAAGGGAGCGUAGGCCGUGGAUUAAGCGUGUUGUGAAAUGCAGGUGCUCAACGUCUGCACUGCAGCGCGAACUGGUCCACUAGAGUGUGCGCAACGCAGGCGGAAUUCGUCGUGUAGCGGUGAAAUGCUUAGAUAUGACGAAGAACUCCGAUUGCGAAGGCAGCUUGCGGGAGCACAACUGACGCUUAAGCUCGAAGGUGCGGGUAUCGAACAGGAUUAGAUACCCCGGUAGUC